UACGUAGGGCGCGAGCGUUGUCCGGAAUUAUUGGGCGUAAAGAGCUCGUAGGCGGCCUGUCGCGUCCGCUGUGAAAUCCCGGGGCUCAACCCCGGGCCUGCAGUGGAUACGGGCUGGCUGGAGGCAGGCAGGGGAGAACGGAAUUCCUGGUGUAGCGGUGAAAUGCGCAGAUAUCAGGAAGAACACCCGUGGCGAAGGCGGCUCUCUGGGACGGUACUGACGCUGAGACGCGAAAGCGUGGGGAGCGAACAGG
rnacentral:rRNA from 1 species